rnacentral:rRNA from 1 species
AGGCAUUGGUGGGAUACUACCCUAAUUGUAUUGGAUUUCUAACCCGCAGCACUUAUCGUGCUGGGAGACAGUGUCAGGCGGGCAGUUUGACUGGGGCGGUCGCCUCCUAAAGAGUAACGGAGGCGCUCAAAGGUUCCCUCAGAAUGGUUGGAAAUCAUUCAUAGAGUGUAAAGGCAUAAGGGAGCUUGACUGCGAGACCUACAAGUCGAGCAGGGUCGAAAGACGGACUUAGUGAUCCGGUGGUUCCGCAUGGAAGGGCCAUCGCUCAACGGAUAAAAGCUACCCCGGGGAUAACAGGCUUAUCUCCCCCAAGAGUUCACAUCGACGGGGAGGUUUGGCACCUCGAUGUCGGCUCAUCGCAUCCUGGGGCUGUAGUCGGUCCCAAGGGUUGGGCUGUUCGCCCAUUAAAGCGGUACGCGAGCUGGGUUCAGAACGUCGUGAGACAGUUCGGUCCCUAUCCGUCGUGGGCGUAGGAAAUUUGAGAGGAGCUGUCCUUAGUACGAGAGGACCGGGAUGGACAUACCUCUGGUGUACCAGUUGUCGUGCCAACGGCAUAGCUGGGUAGCUAUGUAUGGACGGGAUAAGUGCUGAAAGCA